CUUCUCCCCGCGAUCAUGUCUAAGUCAGAGUCUCCUAAAGAGCUGGAACAGCUGAGGAAGCUCUUCAUUGGACGGUUGAGCUUUGAAACAACCAAUGAGAGCCUCAGGAGCCAUUCUGAGCAAUGGGGAAAUGCUCACAGACUGUGUGGUCAUGAGAGAUCCAAACACCAAGCGCUCCAGGGGCUUUGGGUUCGUCACGUAUGCAACUGUGGAGGAGGUGGAUGCAGCCAUGAAUGCAAGGCCACACAAAGUGGAUGGAAGAGUUGUGGAACCAAAGAGAGCUGUCUCAAGAGAAGAUUCUCAAAGACCAGGUGCCCACUUAACUGUGAAAAAAAUAUUCGUUGGUGGCAUUAAAGAAGACACUGAAGAACAUCACCUAAGAGAUUAUUUUGAACAGUAUGGAAAAACUGAAGUGAUUGAAAUCAUAACGGACAGAGGCAGUGGCAAGAAAAGGGGCUUUGCCUUUGUAACCUUUGACGACCAUGACUCCGUGGAUAAGAUUGUCACUCAGAAAUACCAUACUGUGAAUGGCCACAACUGUGAAGUUAGGAAAGCUCUGUCAAAGCAAGAGAUGGCUAGUGCUUCAUCCAACCAAAGAGGUCGAAGUGGUUCUGGAAACUUUGGUGGUGGUCGUGGAGGUGGUUUCGGUGGGAAUGACAACUUUGGUUGUGGAGGAAAUUUCAGUGGUCGUGGUGGCUUUGGUGGCAGCCGUGGUGGUGGUGGAUAUGGUGGCAGUGGGGAUGGCUAUAAUGGAUUUGGUAAUGAUGGAAGCAAUUUUGGAGGUGGUGGAAGCUACAAUGAUUUUGGCAGUUACAACAAUCAGUCUUCAAAUUUUGGACCCAUGAAGGGAGGAAACUUUGGAGGCAGAAGCUCUGGCCCCUAUGGUGGUGGCGGCCAAUACUUUGCCAAACCACGAAACCAAGGUGGCUAUGGCGGUUCCAGUAGCAGCAGUAGCUAUGGCAGUGGCAGAAGAUUUUAAUUAGGAAACAAAGCUUAGCAGGAGAGGAGAGCCAGAGAAGUGACAGGGAAGCUACAGGUUACAACAGAUUUGUGAACUCAGCUAAGCACAGUGGUGGCAGGGCCUAGCUGCUACAAAGAAGACAUGAUUUAGACAAAUACUCAGGUGUAUGGGCAAAAAACUCGAGGACUGUAUUUGUGACUAAUUGUAUAACAGGUUAUUUUAGUUUCUGUUCUGUGGAAAGUGUAAAGCAUUCCAACAAAGGGUUUUAAUGUAGAUUUUUUCUUUUUCCUUUUUUUUUUUUUUUGCACCCAUGCUGUUGAUUGCUAAAUGUAAUAGUCUGAUCGUGACGCUGAAUAAAUGUCUUUUUUUUUAAUGUGCUGUGUAAAGUUAGUCUACUCUGAAGCCAUCUUGGUAAAUUUCCCCAACAGUGUGAAGUUAGAAUUUCUUCAGGGUGAUGCCAGGUUCUAUUUGGAAUUUAUAUACAACACGCUUGGGUGGAGAAGCCAAUGUCUUCAGAAACCUUGGUGUAGUUGAACUAAUAGUUACUGUUGUGACCUAAAGUUCACGAUUAAAAGGAAUUACCCAAGCAAAAAUCAUGGAAUUAUUGGUUAUAAAGAUGAUUGUUGGCACAUCCUAUGCAAUAUAUCUAAAUUGAAUAAUGGUACCAGAUAAAAUUAUAGAUGGGAA